AGUCGAACGGAAUCUUUCGGGAUUUAGUGGCGGACGGGUGAGUAACGCGUGAGAAUCUGCCUUCAGGUUCGGGACAACAGCUGGAAACGGCUGCUAAUACCGGAUGUGCCGAGAGGUGAAAGCUUUAGUGCCUGGAGAUGAGCUCGCGUCUGAUUAGCUAGUAGGAGUGGUAACGGCACCCCUAGGCGACGAUCAGUAGCUGGUCUGAGAGGAUGAUCAGCCACACUGGGACUGAGACACGGCCCAGACUCCUACGGGAGGCAGCAGUGGGGAAUUUUCCGCAAUGGGCGCAAGCCUGACGGAGCAAGACCGCGUGAGGGAAGAAGGUCUGUGGAUUGUAAACCUCUUUUGAUAGGGAAGAAGACAGUGACGGUACCUAUCGAAUCAGCCUCGGCUAACUCCGUGCCAGCAGCCGCGGUAAUACGGAGGAGGCAAGCGUUAUCCGGAAUUAUUGGGCGUAAAGAGUCCGUAGGUGGGUGACCAAGUCAGUUGUUAAAUAGUGAAGCCUAACUUCAUAGAGGCGACUGAAACUGGUCAUCUAGAGUGUGGUAGGGGUAGAGGGAAUUUCCAGUGUAGCGGUGAAAUGCGUAGAUAUUGGAAAGAACACCGGUGGCGAAAGCGCUCUACUGGGCCUGCACUGACACUGAGGGACGAAAGCUAGGGGAGCGAAAGGGAUUAGAUACCCCUGUAGUCCUAGCCGUAAACGAUGGAUACUAGGCGUUGCCCGUAUCGACCCGAGCCGUGCCGA
rnacentral:rRNA from 1 species